CGUCAAUCUCUUGGUGAAGGAAGGUCGGGGUGGUCUGGUCGAUUGUCUGAUCAACUGUCUUUUGUAGGCAUUUCUUAAGACAGGGUAACACACAACAAACAAGAAGAGCGAGGAUGAUUAUCGUUAUUAAAAUGGCAACACCUAUUUGGGCCAGAGCACCUUGCCAUCCAGUCAUCCAUCCAAACCAUCUUUCCCAUGGAUCUGCGGCCCCAGAAUUUUGUUUCAGCUCAUUGGACAAACUCUUUAACUUUUCUAUUGCCAACGUUACCUUACCAUUAGGGCCUGUAUUGUCUGGAAUAUAGGUACAGCAUGUUAUGGUGUCUGGGAGUAUUUUACAUACUCUCCCUUUUUCUGCCAAAAUCAUUUUAAAGCUUAUUCUAUUCUGGAAGGUCAUCUGAGAGGUAGCUUGUAACCGCCCUAUCCCACCAUAUAUCCCAUAACAAGUAUAGUUCCCAGGAUAUAUAGUAAUGCCUUCGUUUGGGCAUAAUAUUUUUAGUAAUGAUUGGGUAUUAAGUUUCCAUGACUCGCAUGCUAACCGCUUAGGUUUAAAUACAGUGUAGAGACUUAAAACGCAUACUUCAUAUCCGGAGGAAGGUUCAGGGAUACUGUACCUGGGUGAGGCCUCGCUCCUCUGCAGACAUAGCAGUUAGACUUGUUAUGUUUAGUAGCAUUGUAUUUCAUCCAUUCAAGUCACAAGUUAGUGUCAGAGAAACCUGUCUCUACAGCCCUCUUAUCCUCAAAUAUGGGAUGACUACCAUGUCUUUUAAAGUCCUAAUGUGUGGUUUGAGGGGAUUAACAGUCAUAUGCGUGGCACCUACCCAUUCAGCUGAGUCAUACAUGUCCUGUAAGAAAAAGGUCUCCUGUUUAUUGUAUAAACCUCUUCCCUUCCAAUUCAGAUUUUAUUAGCCGUAAUGCUUGGGAGAAUAGAUUCAAACUUAGUUUCUUACCUUAAAAUUAUUUGGUACCCCCCUUGACACCCCUAUAGCAUUAAUAUACAUAUAUAUAUAUAUGUGUGGGUAAAACCACCCUUUAUAGGGGUACUCCUUUUUGUCCUGAAGCAUGAAUGAGGUGUGUCAAGAGUACCUUGGGGAUUGUCAUGUGUUAUGUGUAUGGACAUAAUAACCUAGGCUAGGGCACAUUUACUUAUUCUUAGAAAUCUUGUCUCAUGCUACCCUAGUACUGGCAGAUUCAGAUCAUUUAAACAUUCAAUAUUAAUAUCACCACAAACUCAAGAUAAGCAGAUGAUCUUG
rnacentral:lncRNA from 1 species